rnacentral:rRNA from 1 species
AACGCGGACCAGGCCAGUGGCAAUGAUGAAUAAAGCGGAACGAUUUGGAAAAGUCGGCCAUAGAGGGUGAUAGCCCCUUACGCGUAGAACAGUCAUUGUCCUUGAGUAGGGCGGGGCACGUGAAAUCCUGUCUGAACAUGGGGAGACCACUCUCCAAGCCUAAGUACUCGUGCAUGACCGAUAGCGAACAAGUACCGUGAGGGAAAGGUGAAAAGCACCCCGACGAGGGGAGUGAAAUAGAACCUGAAACCGGAUGCCUACAAACAGUCGGAGCCCGCAAGGGUGACGGCGUACCUUUUGUAUAAUGGGUCAACGACUUAGUG